GUGUCAGCCGCCGCGGUAAUACGGAGGGUGCGAGCGUUAUCCGGAAUUACUGGGUUUAAAGGGUGCGUAGGCGGCUUUGUAAGUCAGGAGUGAAAGUUUGCGGCUCAACCGUAAAAUUGCUUCUGAUACUGCAUGGCUAGAAUUAGGAUGAGGUCAGCGGAAUGUGGCAUGUAGCGGUGAAAUGCAUAGAUAUGCCAUAGAACACCAAUUGCGAAGGCAGCUGACUAGACCUGGAUUGACGCUGAGGCACGAAAGCGUGGGGAGCGAACAGGAUUAGAUACCCUGGUAGUCC
rnacentral:rRNA from 1 species